rnacentral:sRNA from 1 species
GUCAGGCGCGGUGGUGCACACCUGUAAUCUUAGCAGCUUGGGAGGCUGAAGCAGGAGGAUUGUGAGUCAAAGCCAGCCUCAGCAUUGGAGAAGCACUAAGCAAUUUGGUGAGACCCUGUUUCUA